AUGGUCAUAUAAUGAUGAACACCGAUUCUCGUAUGAUCACCAAUGUUAAGCAACGUCGAGCCUGGUCAGUACUUGGAUGGAUGAACGCUUGGAAGCACUAGGUGCUGUA